CAGUCGCCGCGGGAAUACAGAGGGUGCAAGCGUUAAUCGGAAUUACUGGGCGUAAAGCGCGCGUAGGCGGUUUGUUAAGUUGGAUGUGAAAUCCCCGGGCUCAACCUGGGAACUGCAUCCAAAACUGGCAAGCUAGAGUAUGGUAGAGGGUGGUGGAAUUUCCUGUGUAGCGGUGAAAUGCGUAGAUAUAGGAAGGAACACCAGUGGCGAAGGCGACCACCUGGACUGAUACUGACACUGUGGUGCGAAAGCGUGGGGAGCAAACAGGAUUAGAUACCCGCGUAGUCCCUGUCUCUUAUAU
rnacentral:rRNA from 1 species